GCCAGGCAUGGUGAUGCAUGCCUGUAUUCCCAGCUACUCAGGAGGCUGAGGUGGGAGGAUUGCUUGAGCCUGGGAGGUGGAGGUUGCAGUGAGCUCAGAUUGUGCCACUGCACUCCAGCCUGGGUGACAAAGUGAGACCCCGUCUCAA
ensembl:misc_RNA Metazoa_SRP Metazoan signal recognition particle RNA